CACGUAGGGCGCAAGCGUUGUCCGGAAUUAUUGGGCGUAAAGAGCUCGUAGGCGGUCUGUUGCGUCCGCUGUGAAAACUCGGGGCUUAACCCCGAGCCUGCAGUGGAUACGGGCAGACUAGAGGUAGGUAGGGGAGAAUGGAAUUCCCGGUGUAGCGGUGAAAUGCGCAGAUAUCGGGAAGAACACCCGUGGCGAAGGCGGCUCUCUGGGCCGAUACUGACGCUGAGGAGCGAAAGCGUGGGGAGCGAACAGG
rnacentral:rRNA from 1 species